rnacentral:misc_RNA from 1 species
GUCGCUGAUGCAGAGGAAAGAAAACCUUUCCAACUAGGCGAGUUUUUUCCUAGUUUAUGAUGAUCGCGUGGUGGCUAUUGGUCUUGAUUACGGUCAUCAGUGAUUGGGGAAGCUCAAAUUUUCGAGUAAAUUAAUAACCCAACUUAGGUUUUGUUUCAUUAUCAUCUCCUGUUUAUAUUUAAAAGAAAAUUUUAGUACUAAUUGUUUUGCUAAGGGGCAAGUAAUUAGCACUCGUAAAAUAAAAUUUUGGCAAGGGCUCAAUUCAGUCCUUGAGAAUUGAUCAAAUGAUCACAUAAGUUUU